CCCUGGCUAGCUUAGCUGGUAGAGCGCUCCACUCGAAAUGGAGAGGUCCCGGGGUUCAAAACCCGGACUAGGCG